CGUGGACAGGGAAACCAACAAUUGCAUUCUCAAAUUGUCCGAACACAGCCGGCUGCUCUAGGGUGGCUGUCAUCGCCGCGAGCGAAGGUUGGAGGAGCCUCCUAGGCGCAGGAGUCAAGAAUUACCACGUACACAAGGAACUUGGAAUCGGACUUAAGAAGAGGCGCUGACAUUUAUUCUUGUGCUGGUGGGAGUUGAUGCCUGUUUCAACCACAGAGUUUCUGGAGGCCAGACACUCUUCGUUUGGUAUUGAUGUGUGAGCGGAAGCACCAGAAGGGCUCUCCCUGUAACACUGGCUUGUGCAUAGCUCAAGGCUGCCUCUAGCUCUCUGCUUUCUGGACACAGGGCUGCUGUGGUCAUGGCAACACAUAGGGAGCCUUCAUGAGAUGAGGUCCUUAAUUGGGCAGAUUGCGGGGUCAGCCGCUUUGGACCCAGAGAAGAGCAUGUCUGAUUGCAUGCGGGUUGAUACCCCAGGUCCCGCCUCUGAGAAAAAGGUAUCGGACGGGUCUAAUGCUCUUUGGGUGGAUGACACCUAAAUGAACAUCUGUAC